rnacentral:rRNA from 1 species
GAUGAACGCUGGCGGCGUGCCUAAUACAUGCAAGUCGAGCGAACGGACGAGAAGCUUGCUUCUCUGAUGUUAGCGGCGGACGGGUGAGUAACACGUGGAUAACCUACCUAUAAGACUGGGAUAACUUCGGGAAACCGGAGCUAAUACCGGAUAAUAUUUUGAACCGCAUGGUUCAAAAGUGAAAGACGGUCUUGCUGUCACUUAUAGAUGGAUCCGCGCUGCAUUAGCUAGUUGGUAAGGUAACGGCUUACCAAGGCAACGAUGCAUAGCCGACCUGAGAGGGUGAUCGGCCACACUGGAACUGAGGCACGGUCCAGACUCCUACGGGAGGCAGCAGUAGGGAAUCUUCCGCAAAGGGCGAAAGCCUGACGGAGCAACGCCGCGUGGGUGAUGAAGGUCUUCGGAUCGUAAAACUCUGUUAUUAGGGAAGAACAUAUGUGUAAGUAACUGUGCACAUCUUGACGGUACCUAAUCAGAAAGCCACGGCUAACUACGUG